UUGUGUGCUCAUAGCACUGAAACUAUUGGGAAUCUAGGCUUCUACUGUAGCACUUGACAUGGCAGUUCAUGUCUGUGGAAACCCCUGUUAGUUGGAAGCUGGCUAAAGCUAGGGUUCUCUUACUCACUGGUUAAGGGCACCACUUUCAGAUAAAAACAUAGACCUGAAUAGCAUCAUCCAGUAUCCAAGGAAACCAUUCAGGUCAUGCUUCUGACUGAGGAUCAGCGGUAACAGAGGAGCAGAAUGGUUCAGAUUGACUCUGCCUUCACUACACCGGUGACGUGUCCUGCUUACACAUGACUCAAUAAAAUGCCUUAACUGUAUGAGGCCCACAUUAUCACAACUCAGUUUGGACUAGUCAUGUUUCCAGUGUUCAGGAGACACAUGUGGCCAAGGUCCAAGCACAGCAAUGGACAAUGAGGUUCUCUACACAUAAGUAUGCGUUUGGGGAAGAUAGUUGAACAUGGAAGCCAUAUGGAAAAGCAACAAAUGAAAUCCGAAGAUGGUCGACAUGCAGUGAGGUAGAGCCACGUAUUUCACCUGUGCUGAGAAGACCUGUUGGAGAUACCAGGCAGUGGUCAUGGGCCAUAUUCAUCUGAGCUAAGAUUUGCACUGUUUUUGGGAAAAAAAAAGAACAUGGGGAUGGAACCCAGGGACUCAUGCGUGCAAGGCAAGCACUCAAUCUCCGAGCCACAACUCCAGCUCCAUAUGUUUUAAUAUCUCAUCCCAUCCUGAAUUUGCAAAGAUAUGUGAUAAGUCCUUAUUUUAAUUAAGUUUAAAACUGAUACAUAAAAUCAUAUACAUUAUACAUAUUGAUGAGGUACCAUUUUAUUUUGGAUACAUGUAUACAUUGUGUAAUAUGAAGUCCUUUUGGAAAUAACAUUAGAUUAUUAUAAUACUAGUUAUUUCUUACCAAGUAUUUGAUAAAUGCCUGUCACUGUGUAGCAACUUUACAUAUAUGUUGUGUCUAUUCCUGUUGCAAGACUGCAAACCCAUUUCACAAAGAAGUAACUGAAUACCUCCUCCCCAUAAGCUGUAUUCAGAUGUAAUUGGCAAAUAAAAUUAUAU